AUCCGGCUGCCGCGUCCAAAAUAGGAUGAAAUGCGCGUCCUGGAU
rfam:Schistosoma haematobium scaffold2353_1, whole genome shotgun sequence.